rnacentral:rRNA from 1 species
GAUGAACGCUGACAGAAUGCUUAACACAUGCAAGUCAACUUGAAUUUGGGUUUUUAACUUAGGUUUGGGUGGCGGACGGGUGAGUAACGCGUAAAGAACUUGCCUCACAGCUAGGGACAACAUUUGGAAACGAAUGCUAAUACCUAAUAUUAUGAUAAUAGGGCAUCCUAUAAUUAUGAAAGCUAUAAGCGCUGUGAGAGAGCUUUGCGCCCCAUUAGCUAGUUGGAGAGGUAACGGCUCACCAAGGCGAUGAUGGGUAGCCGGCCUGAGAGGGUGAUCGGCCACAAGGGGACUGAGACACGGCCCUUACUCCUACGGGAGGCAGCAGUGGGGAAUAUUGGACAAUGGACCGAGAGUCUGAUCCAGCAAUUCUGUGUGCACGAUGAAGUUUUUCGGAAUGUAAAGUGCUUUCAGUUGGGAAGAAACAAAUGACGGUACCAACAGAAGAAGUGACGGCUAAAUACGUG